ACACAGUCGGCGAAGCAGUUUCCAUUUUGCCGACCUUGCCGCAGGUGUCUGUGUAGCCGAGAGCAGCAUGUCCUCCUCCGCAGUGAUGGCUCGUCUCUUCCGGGUGCCCAGCUUGGCACAAUUCAUCUCCAGAAGGGGAAUGGCGUCACAGGCGACAAAUGCCGGGGCAAGCCCAUUGGACACGGUUAUUGGCCUCACAACAUUUAUGAUCACCUUCCUGGUUCCAUCAGGCUAUAUCCUCGCCAACCUGCAGGAGUAUAAGAAGAGAGACUGAUGGCGGACAUCCCAUUCUGCAUUGUUACAUUCCACUUCCAGCGUUGUAUGGUGCGCUGGCUCUAAACGCACAUUUGUCGUCUGUUACAAUAAAACAUGUUUACAGCCCC